rnacentral:rRNA from 1 species
UACAGAGGUCCCGAGCGUUGUUCGGAUUCAUUGGGCGUAAAGGGUGCGUAGGCGGCGGGUUAAGUUUGAUGUGAAAUCCCGGGGCUCAACCCUGGAAUUGCAUUGAAUACUACCUUGCUAGAGUACCGGAGAGGAAACUGGAAUUUACGGUGUAGCAGUGAAAUGCGUAGAGAUCGUAAGGAAGACCAGUGGCGAAGGCGAGUUUCUGGACGGUAACUGACGCUGAGGCACGAAGGCCAGGGGAGCAAACGGG